ACGAUAGUAAUGAUAAUAUUAUAGAAAUAUUUUUUAUAUUACUCAUAUUUAUUGUUUAUGUAUUAUGUAAUUUUCUUGUUCAUAUCUCACUAAUAUCAUAGUAGUUUCGUCACAUUUCAGAAAGAAAUUCAUACUUGGAUGAAAACAAUUGCAAUAUUUGUGAUGCCAAACUAGUUGAUCAGUUAUUCCAUCUUAAUAUAUAUAUUGCCCAUUUCAAUAAAUUGGAAACCAAUUGUUUCUUUACUGAAGUAAUGCAAAAUAUUUUAUUCAAUCAACUGUUCAAGAAAAACUACACAAUGUUAUAAUGAGCGAAACAAAUAAAGAGGAAGCACCUGUACAAUAUGAAGAAUGGCCACUUUUAACAUCAUCUAUAUGUAGAUUAUGUAUUUUUCAGUAACUUAUUUUGAUAGUUGAUAAGACUAAAUUACUUAAAAACUAAUUGUACUUCAAAAUAAUGUUAAGUUUAUUUACUGUACCAUUACUGCCAAUUGUAUAUAGAGUGUAAAAUGGUGUUAAUACUAUAUUUAACUAUAUAGAUACUAUGUAGAUGGCAAAAUAUUUUGUAUAAUAUUUAUAUAUAAUUAAAUAAUAAUAUAUUUAUUC